rnacentral:rRNA from 1 species
CACGUAGGGCGCAAGCGUUGUCCGGAAUUAUUGGGCGUAAAGAGCUCGUAGGCGGUCUGUUGCGUCCGCUGUGAAAACUCGGGGCUUAACCCCGAGCCUGCAGUGGAUACGGGCAGACUAGAGGUAGGUAGGGGAGAAUGGAAUUCCCGGUGUAGCGGUGAAAUGCGCAGAUAUCGGGAGGAACGCCGGUGGCGAAAGCGAUCCGCUGGACCUCUUCUGACGCUGAGGCGCGAAAGCCAGGGGAGCAAACGGG